UUACCAUUGUUUCUAGGUUUUCAGGCAAGUCAAUAUUCUCUAUCUCUCUUCACGUUAUCUCAAUUUUUCUCUCAGUCAUUGUUCAAGACAAAUUAACUCUUCAAUUUUCUUUCAAUUUGUUAAAAAAAUGUAUCAAUUAGAUCAAGAAAUCGCUCAGCUGAUGAAGGGUUACUAAUGCACAAGCGAAUACAGAUUCAAAUUUGAUUUUUGUGAAAAUAAAAUCUAAAAAAAA